rnacentral:rRNA from 1 species
GAUGAACGCUAGCGAUAGGCUUAACACAUGCAAGUCGAGGGGCAGCAUGGUCUUAGCUUGCUAAGGCUGAUGGCGACCGGCGCACGGGUGCGUAACGCGUAUGCAACUUGCCUCACAGAGGGGGAUAACCCGUCGAAAGACGGACUAAUACCGCGUACACUCUAUGUUGGGCAUCCAAUGUAGAGGAAAUGAAAUUCGCUGUGAGAUAGGCAUGCGUCCCAUUAGCUAGUUGGUGAGGUAACGGCUCACCAAGGCGACGAUGGGUAGGGGAACUGAGAGGUUGAACCCCCACACUGGUACUGAGACACGGACCAGACUCCUACGGGAGGCAGCAGUGAGGAAUAGUGGUCAAUGGGCGAGAGCCUGAACCAGCCAAGUCGCGUGAAGGAUGACUGUCUUAUGGAUUGUAAACUUCUUUUAUACGGGAAUAACAAGAGUCACGUGUGGCUCCCUGCAUGUACCGUAUGAAUAAGCAUCGGCUAACUCCGUG